rnacentral:rRNA from 1 species
UACGUAGGGUGCAAGCGUUGUCCGGAAUUAUUGGGCGUAAAGAGCUCGUAGGCGGUUUGUUGCGUCGGCUGUGAAAUCCCGAGGCUCAACCUCGGGUCUGCAGUCGAUACGAGCAAACUAGAGUGUUGCAGGGGAGACUGGAAUUCCUGGUGUAGCGGUGGAAUGCGCAGAUAUCAGGAGGAACACCGGUGGCGAAGGCGGUUCUCUGGGCAUUACCUGACGCUGAGGAGCGAAAGUGUGGGGAGCGAACAGG